CGAGCCUCGCCGCUUCUCUCGAGAGGACGUGCGCGCUCGUACGUUCCACCUGCGUCGUCCUAGCAAGCGUGAAUCAUCGCGAGGCACGUCGUUCUUUGCGAGAUACGUGCGUCGUGGACGCGUCACGCGACACCUUCUUUUUCUCUUCGAUCUUCCUCGUCCUAAGAUAUUCGUCGUUUCAUUCACACGUUGGUGUAGAUCGUGAGAGAGGUUAGUAAAGAUGAAUUCAUUCGUUUAUGGAUUAUGAUUUUGAAACGAGUCGAAAUCGUUGACAGAUUGGAUAAGAUUAGAUUAAUAACAAAAUAGACGAAGAUGAAGAUAUGAUACAAAGAUCACGAUAGUUUCUGAUUUCGAGAUGAAUUGAAUUGGUCGAUUGGAGGAAGAUUAUGUUUAGAUUAAUAUACAUAAAUGAUUAAAUGAUGAAGAUAAUUGUGUUUAAGAAUGUUGACAGGCCUGAUAUGAACAAUGCGGAUGCAUAGAAUAUUUUUUAUUAGCCAAUUAUAGAUAUUAUGUAAUUCGAAACUGAUCUAACAAGGAAAAGCUUGGUCGUGUUCCAAACUUAAACGCGUCUCAUCAUCCGAAGGCGCAGGGACGAUGCUGAAACCUGAUCGGCGAGUCGAAAGAUGCGCGUCACAGGACCAAUUACGUCACCCCGUACAGAAACAGAGAUAAAAGUCGAGAGAAUAUCGACAAGCAUUUGAGGUCGACUUCAAACACGAGAGGAUGAAACGACGUGCCAUUGAAAGCUAAUCUCGGAAUAUCUUCGAAUACGUAUCUCUAUAUGAGGAAAACCAGUGGACUCGCGUGAAAUCCAAAUCAAUCGAUGGAUGGAGCGCAACGAUCUUCGAACAGUUCGAGGAAAAAGAAGAAUGAAAAAAGAAGUAAUGAAUUACUGCGAGAUAAAAGGACUCCGAGAUCAGAUUGCGAAAUCCUGUAAACUCAUCAACUCUUUUAAAAUUUUCUUUUCAACCACAUCUCCGAAUACCUUCGAAUACGUAUCUCUGUAUGAAGAAAACCAGUAGACUCGCGUGAAAUCCAAAUCAAUCGAUGGAUGGAGCGCAACGAUCUUCGAACAGUUCGAGGAAAAAGAAGAAUGAAAAAAGAAGUAAUGAAUUACUGAGAGAUAAAAGGACUACCUCCAAGACUCGGUUGUGAAAUCCAUCAACCCGUAAUUACGAGGUCGUGAGAUGUUGAACUUCGCGAAGUGGAGAGUCGUGGGACCAGUGAAACACCCCACAGGCCAUGAGAUUUCGAGAUAUGUAUAUCAUUUUGAGGAUGCGGUGUAGCAGGCCACGAUGGGGGAAUCACGGAACCAUAAGUCGUGAAGCAGAAGAGAAGCGACGAGGCACAAUUUCGCGUGUCCAUUUCCGACCUUCAACGAUAACCCAUCGUUAAGACCAGCUUGUGGAAUGCGAGAAUCGCGUCGAAAAGACGAUUCUUGGGGAUCGACUUGCAGGUAUCCGAGGAAUUUUCAUUGACGACAUUCCAGCGUCUCGAGGGAAGGGGUUGUUAAAUAAACCUCGCGGAAGCUGGUAACGGAUCUAGUAAGGAAACGAGGUUUCCCUUCCAUCUCUUUUUUCUCUUAUUUCGCUGCAACGAGCUUGCACUCUAACGACCGCUCUAACGAGAUCCUACGAAGGGAUCCCUUGCCCGUAUGUUUUUAGGGUGAAUAGGUGCGACGACCCGAUCCCUGACCCAGGCCUUCAGCUUCUCGAGGAUGGCGGUGGAUCGGCUUUCGAACGUAA